ACAUACCAAAAAUACAAUACAGCUUGAGAAUAAUAUUAUGAAAAUAGUUUAUCGUAAGAAUUCCUCAACAAUGCUAGAGAAAAACUUUUUUGCACAAACUUUUCUCAAAUCUGUCCUUUGUUGACAAAUUUGUUUUGAUUUUUUUUUUUUUUUUGUGAAAAUUGUCGACAAAAAAAAAAUAUUUUCUUUGGUUAAAAUCAAAAUCACGCGAAUUUAAAACCCAUUUCUGGACGAAACUCUAAGAAUAGAGGCGUCAAAAAGUUGCAAGAAUUCAAGAGAAGUGAAGAAUUAGUGGAGGAGAUGCGGAAGCUCAAAUAAGGGGAAAGAAAUGCAGCUGGGAUGGCGAUCAAUGAAUGAAAUGUGUAAAAUAAUUAAAAAAUAAAUAUUUUAUACCAUUGAAAAAAUAAGCUUGAUAUAAUAUUACUUUCGUAAGCUUAUUCUGCAAUUACAAGAAUAAGCUUAUGAAUAAGGGUUCCCUUUCGAUUAUUCUAUAAUUGUUAAACAAGCAUUUCUCAAUACAUUCUCAAGAUUUUCUCAA